rnacentral:rRNA from 1 species
GACGAACGCUGGCGGCGUGCCUAAUACAUGCAAGUUGAGCGAUGAAGAUUGGUGCUUGCACCAAUUUGAAGAGCAGCGAACGGGUGAGUAACGCGUGGGGAAUCUGCCUUUGAGCGGGGGACAACAUCUGGAAACGAAUGCUAAUACCGCAUAACAACUUUAAACAUAAGUUUUAAGUUUGAAAGAUGCAAUUGCAUCACUCAAAGAUGAUCCCGCGUUGUAUUAGCUAGUUGGUGAGGUAAAGGCUCACCAAGGCGAUGAUACAUAGCCGACCUGAGAGGGUGAUCGGCCACAGUGGGACUGAGACACGGCCCAAAAUCCUACGGGAGGCAGCAGUAGGGAAUCUUCGGCAAUGGAGGAAAGUCUGACCGGGCAACGCCGCGGGAGUGAAGAAGGUUUUCGGAUCGUAAAAAUCUGUUGGUAGGGAAGAAAGGUGGGGAGAGGGGAAAGCUCAUCAAGUGACGGUAACUACCCAGAAAGGGACGGCUAACUACGUG